AUUUAAAAAAAAAAGCUAUUUGUUGUUAAUGUAUUUUUUGCCACAGUGAAGUGAGUCAAGUGCGCAAAAAUUUGGUAAUUCCCCGGUCAUGGUUGACGGCCAUCGAGUGAAAUCACUCAGAAGUGAAGAUGUAUCUGUGUAUUUAAAGACUUUCACGGACGCGUACCGGAGUCUAAUUGCUGGCCAGUAAAUUAUGUAAAUUUCCACACAUGAAGCGUUUAUACCUAUAAACACAGAAACGAAACUAGUUUCAAACAGUUUGUGUUGCGCUUUGGCGGGAGCACAGUAUUUGAAAAUAAUUUGUAGAUUUAGUGGCACUCUAUAAAUAAAACGAGAACGAGUUUGAUCGAACUUUCAUUUACGAUAUGAUGACUAAACCUUGCGGCUAAUGUGUUACUUGCUAUAAUUUAUUGCGGCUACAGUCAUUAUCAAGUGUAGUGUAGUUUGUUAUUCGAAAAUUGUAACUAGCAAUGUAUCAGUUUGUGUUUACAACUGGCUUAAAUGGGGACUCGGAAUUUCAUAAGGAUUUGAGCGCAACGAACAAUCUUUGCAAACUAGUGCAAGUAACUGUAAAUGCGUCUUCAGCGGCUAAUUGUGGAAGACGAUGGUGAAAAAUUGCUACGUCUUUUUUAUUUUAGUGGUGCUUGCGGUAACGGUGUAUAUUGCAGAGACGCGACCUCAAUUUAAAGAGUCGCUUGAAGCCAUCUCCAAAGUGACUGAAGGGAUUAAUGAUAGCGCUAUCACUUUUAUUAAACAUCUAACCGGCGAGGCGUUAAAAGAUGACAAGAAUAAAACUAAAACCAGGAUUUUGUUCCGAGGGGAUUUGCUGGGCGGGGAGUUCGGCGACCAGGACAUAAUAUUUCCCGACACGUACCAAGUGAUUUUCAAUGAUGUUCCGAAAAUCGACGGUCCUCCUAAGUGUGCCGAAGGCAACACUUUUUGUGAGGACUUUGAUUCUUAUCCUUACAACCACGUGAAAAACGUGCUUAAGCGCAAGCGGGUGCAUACUGAUUUAUUCGGCAAGGACGAACCCCUCGAUGAGCGCUACAGCAUCACCAACAGAAACGGCGACUUCGAGGCGUUCAUCUGCACGAGCAUAUCCAAAACGAUUUUCCCCCGAGUUGGCAUCAACAAAAACAACAAGUGGAAGGUCAUAAUCAAUCAAGAGGAAGACGGAUACAUUCAAGGGAUUAGGACGGAAAUUUGCCGAAAGUAAAGGGUUGAAAGUUGAUUUCUGUGUCGGUGACAGAGUGUUGCGGGGAAGGGGCGGCUUGUGACCUCAUCGGCGACAGGGCGAACGGCUACAUAACCAGCUGCAAGCAAAAAUACAUGUUGCGGAGGAUGAUGUCUUUAUCUGAAAAUGGGGAUCCCGUCCCGGACACAUUCCAGUUACCGUCAGCCUGCUGCUGCUCUUACAGGAAGGAUCUGAGUUUUUUGUCCCGAUUUGGCGCCGACGAUGUUUCCUUAAGGUCGAAAGGGAAAGGAAAAUAAAAUAAAGAAUGUGAUAUAAGUUAUGUGAUUGAACUUUUUAUUGUAAAAACGGCAGCGGGAUUAUUUAUUGAAUAAAAUCAUACAGAAGCAAACCACAACCAAUGAACGAACCCUUCUCCCCACCUUUGGCCGAAACCCUAAACCCUUUCAACUUUCCUAAUCACUUAUUUACGAUUCUAUUCAACAUUAUUCUUCGUGGCUGCAAACGUCGAAUGUGGGUGAAGUGUGUUUUCGUCUGUGUUUAUUUUAUGACUAUGGAAGUGGUUAGUUAUUUCUUUUCUCUUUUUCUGGAUUUUCUUAUAGUUUUUUUAGUCAGUAUUCAAGCAAGUCCAGCCUGGCAGAGAAACAAUCACAUCGUUUUUCCGAACUCGCUAGAAGAGCAUGAAACUUUCAUUGCUCCAAAGUGUAGCGGUAACAAAACAUUUUGUGAGGACGUCGGACAUUACCCCAAAAAUAAAUUUAGCGUAAUAUUAGAAAACACCACAUACGGGGAAGAUUAUUUCAUGCCGCAAAGCACCGCCGAGGAAGAAUCUAUCAAAAAUCGAUUGUACGGAGUAACUGAAUAUUACAUCUGCAAUUCUCACGUCCAAACGCAAUAUCCCAAAGUGGCGCAAAACGUCAGAAACGAGUGGAAAUAUGUUUACAAUUUUGAUAACUACAAGCAAGGCGUAAGGACAGAAGAAUGUGUAGCUGAAACAGCUUGCAGAUCAUUCCAGGGAACGCCGCGGGAAGUUAGGACGAAGUGUAUGCAAAAGUACAGCGAUAUGUUGCUGUUGGUUGCCGAUGAAUACGGAAAACCUGUGUGGGAUUUAUUCUGGUUUCCUUCCGCCUGUGUCUGUGCAUACGAACCAAUUAUUAAUUUUAACCGAGUUUAGGAGAGUUUGCUGACAACUAAUUUUCCUUAAAUUGCGAUCAAUAGACGUGUCUUUGAAGCUGAAAUGUUAUACCAUUUCCCGGUACAAUAAAACUUUGAUUCUAUACAUUCGUUUUUUUUUCCACCUUUUCUAAUGAAAUAAAAGUAAACAUGAGUUUUGAUGUCACGGCGACCUGUAAAUUCUUGUGAAAGAAUUUCGUAGUCGAAUACCCUUCGGAGCCGGUCUCCUGCUGUUAGUGAAAAUGAUGGUCAAGGUGGUGGACGGUAAGUAUCAUUAACUCUUAAUCCUUUGCUGUUAGUGUCAGAUGUACCUGUUCAGAAGACAGUACACAACCUUCAGUGGCAGUGGAAGAAAUGUGGGUUUUUGUGUUGGUUUUUGCCGUUUUCAAAGAGGUAGGAAUAUAUCUUGUGAAGCGCUGUGUGAUUAAGCUGUUACAAGUUUGAUUAAUAAAUUGAUUUUUAGUUGGGCAUUCAAGCCAUGUCAUUUAAUCCAGCCAAGAUGGGUAAGUUUAGCAAGCGUUAAUCAGUGUAAACUAAUCUCAGAGAAUAUAACAGAAUAACACAAAGUUUUUUAAUGAAGACACUCUAAUUUUUUCUCUCAUUCGUCUUCUAAUUGUAUGAUCGCAAGGGUUUGACCUUUCCGGAUUCGAGUGAAAUUGGGGGUGAUUUUUUGUACGAGACGGUGGUCCCCAACUGCCAAAAUCACACGUACUGUGAACACUUGGACCGCUACCCUAAAGAACUAUUUUCCAAAAUAUUAAAAAGCCGCGAAAAGGAGUUUUCUCGGUACUUUCAGAGUAUGGCAGUAAUAGAGCCCAUUAUGAGUAGGAACCAAGACACUUCCUGUAUUUGUGCAUCACACAAAAGUAUUAUAUACCCAAAAGCGGCAUAUAAUAUAAAAAAUAAUCUGAAAUUUAUCUACAACUUCGAUGGAUACAAACAAGGAGUGUCCGUAGAGGUCUGCGUGAUAAAAAAUCAAAUGUGCAAAUUUUACGAGAAGGUGAGAAAGUUAAAAACAAGGUGUCGACAAAAGUUCGUCGAAAAAUUGUUACUGACGGCUGAUGAAAAUGGAAGACCGUACGCUGAUAGGUACAGAUUUCCAUCAGCUUGUGUCUGUUCGUACAAGAUAAUUAGCUCUAAUGUGUUUUUUACUUAAAGUUGGGUAACUGCAGAGUAAUACAUUUACUUUGUGGAGAAGUGAACUGAGACGAUUUUAUCCCUGUACUUAUCGCAGUAUUAGGUGGAAGAAAACGAUAGGUAUUAAUCACAAUUUAGUGAAUCCCAGCUAAUAAUUCUUGAAAAGUAAUUACGUGUGAUUUGUGUGAUUAUGACGAAUUGUAGAUACGUAAGUUAUUGUGGACUAAUGUGUGUUUUUAUAAUUAAAUUUUAGCAAUUUUAGUCCGGACGUUAGUCAAGUUUUUAUUUAUUGUUACAAGCUUUACCAGUGUCUGAAACUGUUUAAGCAUUUUAUGAAAUAUUAUGUUAGAACUAGCUUAAGCAUUAAAAAUGUACAAACAGACGAAAAGUAUUGUAGUAUUGUAAAUUUAUGUGUACUAUAAACUGUAAUUAAUAAAGCUGUUGAUGUUCGAAUGAACUUAUUUUAUGUGGGAAAAUGAAUAAAAUUUGUUGCAAACAGGAAAGCUAUUAAUAACUGAAACUUAAAUGAAUUUCCUUCAGUUUUGUUUGAGGAACGGUGUGGUCUGAUGUGCGUCCGUGAUGCUGAGUUAUUUGUAUUUGAAAUAAGAAGCCUCUAAUUUAAUAGUAAUAGGUGAGUUGGUUAAAUUCAACCAAAACGUAGUGUGGGCUCUUCUUGCACCUUUAUUGUAACAAAAAAAUUCCACAUAUCUCACUCUUAAUACUUUAAUUAAUUGCUGUUGUGGCACAAACCAAUUGUUAGAUAUAGUAUUUAAAUAAUGCUUGAGGAAAUAAGAAUUUUGUUAAAUUUUGUCCUGCAACGGUUUGUUAAAUCUUACAUUGUGCGUGCAGAAAUCUUCAAGUCGUAAAAACGAUCUUAUGUUGAUUUAAAGAGUUUAUAGCUGCAAAAUAUACAUUUCUUCGAUUUAUUGCUUGACUUGUUAUUUCUGGAGGAAAGUGACGGCAAAAGCAAAUAGCAUUGAUACAAACCAUUUUUUAUUUGUUAACAGAUUCAAGUUUGGUACAAGCUUGGGUGUAAAAUAAAUUUUUCUAUAAGUUUAGUAGUAAAUUAAUUAACUAGUGGCAUACUAAAACCAAAUAAAUACGGUUAUUUAUUAUGUAUUGCUUUUAUUUUAACAAAACCUAAAGCAAUUUCAGUUACAACUUUAAAUACUUUAUUCGCGGUAAAUAUUAUAUUAAAUCAACAGGUGUAAUAAAAUCGCUGAAUUUGAAUGAACCAUUGUUUUUGAUGUUGCUGUUGCAGACUGUUUAUUGAAUGUUACUUUGAAGUAAUUACAUAAAUUAGAUUCAUUGGGCAUUAAUUAUAUGAUAUUUGAAUGGACACUAAUUAAAUUCACUGAGUCAGUAUAGGGAGAAUAAAAACGUUUCUGAAAUAUUUGUCUGAAUGAAAUUAAA